CCCGCGACACGGCCACGGAUAUCUUCGCCGCCUGCUGCGUCGCGAGCUCUCCCCAUGGCGCUCCCCCUCGCCCGCCUCCUCCUCCCCGCGCCCCCCGCCUGCCAGUGCCAGCCCCCGCUUGGCCUGCGCUUCCGCACGCGCCACGUCUCCUUCGCUGCCUGCUCCCGCGGUCACCGCGCCGCCAUCGCUGCCCGCGCGGCCGCUAGCGCCCCCGCGGCCUCGGCGCCGGAGGCGGUGGCGGAGGAGAAGGUGGAGCCGCGGACGCGGCUCGUCGCGCAGAACAUCCCGUGGGACUACACGGCCGACGACAUGCGCGCGCUCUUCGAGAAGCACGGCUCCGUCGUCGGCGUUGAGCUUUCAAUGUACAAUGCCAGUAAAAACAGAGGGUUGGCAUUUGUAACGAUGGGUUCAGAAGAGGAGGCUUCUGCAGCUCUCAACAAUCUCAAUUCAACUACUUUAAAUGAUAGAAAAAUCAAGGUGGACUUUGCGCGACCUAGAAAGAAGCAACCUAAGCAAGUUAAGCAACCUGUUGUGGUAUCAGAUAGCUCGGAAAAGUACAUUCUAUUUGUCGGAAAUUUGACAUGGAGAGUUAGAAAUCGUCACCUUCGUGAAUUAUUUGCCUCGACCCCAGGUGUCUUAUCAGCUGAAGUUAUCUUUCAUACCACUACACCAAGGCGAUCCGCUGGUUAUGCAUUUGUUUCUUUUUCUUCGAAAGAGGCUGCAGAGGCUGCCAUAUCUACUUUAAAUGGACAGAAUUUGAUGGGACGGCCCAUUAAUGUGAUGUUCAAAGAAGAAAAUGCUAAGAAGAAUGAAUCUUCUGUCCCAAAGGAAGAUGUGUCCGUGGUGGAAUCGUCUGAACAGAGUGAUAGCUAAACACUAACUUUUCCGAGAAUCAAGAAAAGUGAAAUGAAUUGAUCUGUGGUUACAUAUAUUCUGACCCAUGGAUGCCAUAUUGCCGCUCCGUUUUGCUGGUUCAGGGCUCAUCGAUUGUGAAAUACGUGCUCUGUUAGUGGGUGUGAAGGUUUGGGGAUUCAGAGUGAGGGGCCGGCCAUGAAAGGAAGGGUCAAAAUGCCCAGGCUCGAACUAGCGCGAUGGAUGAGUCUCCUGUUCACUGCAGUCGUUCACUGACGUGUCCCAGGAAAACCAGAUAUGAGAUAUUUGUCUGUCUUCAAACCCCUCCUAACUCCCUAUCUCAAAAGAAAUGCAACUCUCUUUUUUGCGGUAAAAAUGCAACUCUCUCA